GCUCAGGAUGAACGCUGGCGGCGUGCCUAAUACAUGCAAGUCGAGCGAAUGGAUUGAGAGCUUGCUCUCAAGAAGUUAGCGGCGGACGGGUGAGUAACACGUGGGUAACCUGCCCAUAAGACUGGGAUAACUCCGGGAAACCGGGGCUAAUACCGGAUAACAUUUUGAACUGCAUGGUUCGAAAUUGAAAGGCGGCUUCGGCUGUCACUUAUGGAUGGACCCGCGUCGCAUUAGCUAGUUGGUGAGGUAACGGCUCACCAAGGCAACGAUGCGUAGCCGACCUGAGAGGGUGAUCGGCCACACUGGGACUGAGACACGGCCCAGACUCCUACGGGAGGCAGCAGUAGGGAAUCUUCCGCAAUGGACGAAAGUCUGACGGAGCAACGCCGCGUGAGUGAUGAAGGCUUUCGGGUCGUAAAACUCUGUUGUUAGGGAAGAACAAGUGCUAGUUGAAUAAGCUGGCACCUUGACGGUACCUAACCAGAAAGCCACGGCUAACUACGUGCCAGCAGCCGCGGUAAUACGUAGGUGGCAAGCGUUAUCCGGAAUUAUUGGGCGUAAAGCGCGCGCAGGUGGUUUCUUAAGUCUGAUGUGAAAGCCCACGGCUCAACCGUGGAGGGUCAUUGGAAACUGGGAGACUUGAGUGCAGAAGAGGAAAGUGGAAUUCCAUGUGUAGCGGUGAAAUGCGUAGAGAUAUGGAGGAACACCAGUGGCGAAGGCGACUUUCUGGUCUGUAACUGACACUGAGGCGCGAAAGCGUGGGGAGCAAACAGGAUUAGAUACCU
rnacentral:rRNA from 1 species